UCUGAACCUUCGGGGAACGAUAACGGCGUCGAGCGGCGGACGGGUGAGUAAUGCCUAGGAAAUUGCCCUGAUGUGGGGGAUAACCAUUGGAAACGAUGGCUAAUACCGCAUGAUGCCUACGGGCCAAAGAGGGGGACCUUCGGGCCUCUCGCGUCAGGAUAUGCCUAGGUGGGAUUAGCUAGUUGGUGAGGUAAGGGCUCACCAAGGCGACGAUCCCUAGCUGGUCUGAGAGGAUGAUCAGCCACACUGGAACUGAGACACGGUCCAGACUCCUACGGGAGGCAGCAGUGGGGAAUAUUGCACAAUGGGCGCAAGCCUGAUGCAGCCAUGCCGCGUGUAUGAAGAAGGCCUUCGGGUUGUAAAGUACUUUCAGUCGUGAGGAAGGCGGCGUCGUUAAUAGCGGCGUUGUUUGACGUUAGCGACAGAAGAAGCACCGGCUAACUCCGUGCCAGCAGCCGCGGUAAUACGGAGGGUGCGAGCGUUAAUCGGAAUUACUGGGCGUAAAGCGCAUGCAGGUGGUUUGUUAAGUCAGAUGUGAAAGCCCGGGGCUCAACCUCGGAAUAGCAUUUGAAACUGGCAGACUAGAGUACUGUAGAGGGGGGUAGAAUUUCAGGUGUAGCGGUGAAAUGCGUAGAGAUC
rnacentral:rRNA from 1 species